rfam:Gossypium hirsutum cultivar TM-1 chromosome 10, whole genome shotgun sequence
UUACUUACCUGGACGGGGUCAAUGGGUGAUCUCCAAGGCCCAUGGCCUAGUUAAGCGACUUCCAUUGCACUACGGAAAGGCGCUUGCAUAAGGUCUCCACUAAGUAGGAGAGCCUACGUCAUAAUUUGUGGCAGUGGGGGCCUGCGUUCGCGCGGUUCCUGU